CACACUGGGGAAGUUGCAUUCUUUCUGAAUCUCACUUUCCUCACCUGUGAAAAGGAGAUUGAGGAUCCUCGUGGCUGAAGAAUGACUCGGGCUCAGAUGGGAUGCUGUUUUGUAACAGUGCCGCCUUCACUAGCAUUUGCUCAUCUCUGGAUGGAGGCUGUACGUGUCCGGGGGAUGUCGCCAAAGCCUUUGGAGCUGGAGCAGAUUUUGUCAUGCUGGGAGGAAUGUUUUCGGGUCAUACAGAGUGUGCUGGAGAAGUGAUUGAGAGGAAUGGACGGAAGCUCAAGCUCUUUUACGGGAUGAGCUCUGACACCGCCAUGAAGAAGCACGCAGGAGGAGUUGCUGAGUACAGAGCCUCUGAAGGUAAGACUGUGGAAGUGCCUUACAAAGGAGAUGUGGAAAACACUAUCCUGGAUAUUCUCGGGGGACUGAGGUCCACGUGCACCUACGUGGGGGCUGCCAAACUCAAGGAGCUCAGCAGGAGGGCAACGUUCAUCCGGGUGACCCAGCAGCACAACACCGUGUUCAGCUAACCCUGGGGACGAAGCGGCGUCUGGCUCGAGUGGAAGCGUCCAAACCUGCUUUUCCCAUCUCCCCCCCCUAGUCUGUUCCGUCAGAGCUUCUGGCUGCUCCUGAAUGGUGAAAUGCUGUGUCCUCUCUCCUGCCUCCU
rnacentral:sRNA from 1 species